rnacentral:rRNA from 1 species
CAGCAGCCGCGGUAAUACGUAGGACGCAAGCGUUAUCCGGAUUUACUGGGCGUAAAGCGUCUGUAGGCGGAGGUAUAAGUUGGGCGUGAAAGCUCCGGGCUCAACCCGGAGAGAGCGUUCAAUACUGUAUCACUAGAGGAGGUCAGAGGGGAGUGGAAUUUCCGGUGUAGCGGUAAAAUGCGCAGAUAUCGGAAGGAACACCAGUGGCGAAGGCGACUCCCUGGGGCCCACCUGACGCUGAGAGACGAAAGCUAGGGGAGCGAACAGGAUUAGAGACCCUGGUAGUCCUAGCCAUAAACGAUGGAUGCUAGGUGUGGGACCGAGAAGGUUCUGUGCCGAAGCAAACGCGAUAAGCAUCCCGCCUGGGGAGUACGACCGCAAAGUUAAAACUCAAACGAAUUGACGGGGCCCCGCACAAGCAGCGGAGCGUGUGGUUUAAUUCGAUGUCACACGAAGAACCUUACCUGGGAUUGACAUGUACAUGGUAGUGAAGCGAAAGCAGAACGACCCUUCGGGGAGUCUACACAGGUGCUGCAUGGCUGUCGUCAGCUCGUGCCGUGAGGUGUUGGGUUAAGUCCCGUAAC